UCAUGAUUCUCAUUAUUCGCCGAUACAACAAGGCGGUCCCUCAGAUGGUUUCGAUUCUGAAACACUCUGGCGUUCCGUCAUUGGUUGUGCACGGCGCCUGCAUCUCGUGCUGUAU
rnacentral:precursor_RNA from 10 species